GAUGAACGCUGGCGGCGUGCCUAAUACAUGCAAGUCGAGCGAACAGACGAGGAGCUUGCUCCUCUGACGUUAGCGGCGGACGGGUGAGUAACACGUGGAUAACCUACCUAUAAGACUGGGAUAACUUCGGGAAACCGGAGCUAAUACCGGAUAAUAUAUUGAACCGCAUGGUUCCAUAGUGAAAGACGGUUUUGCUGUCACUUAUAGAUGGAUCCGCGCCGCAUUAGCUAGUUGGUAAGGUAACGGCUUACCAAGGCAACGAUGCGUAGCCGACCUGAGAGGGUGAUCGGCCACACUGGAAGUGAGACACGGUCCAGACUCCUACGGGAGGAAGCAGUAGGGAAUCUUCCGCAAUGGGCGAAAGCCUGACGGAGCAACGCCGCGUGAGGGAUGAAGGUCUUCGGAUCGUAAAACUCUGUUAGUAGGGAAGAACAAAUGUGUAAGUAACUAUGCACGUCUUGACGGUACCUAAUCAGAAAGCCACGGCUAACUACGUG
rnacentral:rRNA from 1 species